rnacentral:rRNA from 1 species
CGGCUGAGUAACGCGUGGGUGACGUACCUGUUGGUGGGGAAUAACUGCCCGAAAGGGUGGCUAAUUCCGCAUAAGUCCUUCGGUUCAAUCUGAAGGGGAAAGCUUCGCAAGAGGCGCCGAUGGAGCGGCCCGCGUCCGAUUAGCUUGUUGGUGGGGUAACGGCCUACCAAGGCGACGAUCGGUAGCUGGUCUUAGAGGAUGAUCAGCCAGACUGGGACUGAGACACGGCCCAG